ensembl:snoRNA Gm50452 small nucleolar RNA SNORD79
UACUGUUGGUGAUGACCAAUAAAGUUAAACAGAUGGGAAUCUCUCUGAAUAAGAUUGAAGAUUGAUCAUUAAGCUGAAACAGUA